ensembl:lncRNA
GGAGAGAAUGGCACUGUUUUAUAUAUAUAUAUGUUUUUUUUUUUAAGAGCAGAGCUUAAAGAAAAAUUAAAAAAGGCUUGGUGGCAUCUGGAAAAAGAAAGAAAACCAAGCAAACUUGCUUGGAAAUGCUAAGGAUGGUAAGGAGGGGGAGAUGAUGGAUGAUGCUGGGGACCUUCUGUUAACGGUGCAGCAGCAUCUCUGGCUGUUCCAGCCUAGUCAGGACCUGCAAAAAGCCUCCGGAAAGGUGUCUGAGCCUGACAGGCCUGAUGAGACUGCAGCAGAGAUAUGGCUACAGAGCAUGUUCUUGUCUCCUGGAUACUCCCACGGCUCUUCAGAAGCACUCUGAACAGCCACAACUUGGUUCUGACGGACUCUAUUGUGCCCCGCACCAGACUCCAGAACAUCUGUGUCAUGGGAUGACACCUCUCUGCUGGGGAAGUCUGUUCAAAUUUCUGUUCAGAUCCUCAGAUGCUGCUCCAAGAGAGAUGGCAGUGCAAAUGUAUGUUGUGAACUUGUUCCAAGUCGUACAGAUGUGAACAUUUCUCCAUGAAACCAGAGCUGGAUGCUGAAAUGUCCUGGGCAGACUGUGCAGUAACAUAACCUGUAACAUACAUACUAGCCUCUUGGGGCAGACCACCAAGACUACCAGUACCUUCUUUUCAAAAGCAUCUAAGACUACUGUGCUUCAAAUGAACAAAGUAGAGAACCGGACCACCGCCCCAUCCCCCAAGAAAAGAUCACCCUGAAGCCUUGGUAGUGGAGACAUGAGUUGUUCUGGAGACCUACCGAAAUUGGCUGUCAACUUCCUGCACAGUCAGGCUUUGGAUCAAGGAAAUGGAUUGUUAGUUGAGCAUACUCCAGAGCUGCCUCCAAAGGGUCCCAAAAAUAAGAGCUCUCUAGAAGCUGGAGGAGUCUGAAAGCAUUUACAGGACCAAACUAUCUUGAAAGAGGUGAAGAGGAAAAGCUUGAAUGCUGGUAGAGUUUGAGCUCCAAUGCAUAGAAGUAUUGCUACCAGGAAGAAAGAAGGCAACAGCUUCACAACUAGCAGCAGGAGUCAGGUCUGCUUUCUAACAUGUCCUUCUGGGAGCUCUCCAGGGCCUAGAGAGAGCUCAUUUCAUCAGCCUUUGCCAUAACAGGGGCACUAACAGAGAUUUUCUGCUCUCUUUGGUCACUAUUUUUCUUGCUAUUCAUAUGAACUUGGUAUCUUGGAGGCCGGUCCUUCAAAUUCCAGUUGAAGAUAUGCAACAGUUUCCAACAACUCCCAGAGGCAACUGUACACAUGGUGUGACCGCACAUGGAAAAAGAUCCUGGUGUGUUGAGAGGAAUGGCUACAGAGCCCUUCUGUGGCAGGUGCUGCUUUCAUAGAUCUGAUCAUCAGGAAGAAUCAUCUCUGAUGUGAAAGCGAUGACUGCCCUGUGAUGCACUGUGCAGCUGUCAGUGAUGUUUCACUUUGAGGCAGUCAGCAACUCAUGUCAAAGGUCUUGUUUGCACUUGAUGCUGCCUCAGAAAGCCUGAGUCACUCUUCACCCUCAUUCACCCUGGUUACAUACGUUUACUCUGUGGUUGUAUGGUGGUUGGGAAAGUCCUCAAGUACAAGGGAAGACAAAUCUGUCUUCUUCCUGAAAACUUAGUCCUACUGCUUUUAUAAUGAGAAAGCUGGUUGGCAUGUCAUUCCCAACAUCAGGGCUUGAAACACAAUGUAGUUUUACUGUCUGCCUCUGCUCAGGAAUCUGAGCUCCAAAACGUGAAAUACAAAUUACAUUUAUGUCAAAACAAAAUAGCAGGGAGUACACUCUCAGUUCCUGCUCUGGACCUAGGUCUCCAUCAGUAUGAAAGAAUGGAAUGAACAACCUUCUUUCCUAUUUUUCACUCUGAAGGGCGUUUGGGUAUUCAGCCAAAGUUUGCUGCUUGCUUCUGUUUGUGUACAUGGAUGUCUAUGAAACUUGAAUCCCUCAGUAUUUGCAUGAGUUACGAGCAUGUGCCCAGCUAAUUGCUGGCAUCAGCUGCAGUGUGUUUAAAGUCAUUCUCUGGUGGUCUGGUCAUGAAAUUGUACUUAUCCAUAGGAGCCUCAGUGCCACCAUUUUGUAUUGGCUUCAAGUUAUCUUCAACUACAGCCACCACCACCAGUAGUUCUGAAAGUUUAAAAUCAGUCAGUUGUUUGGAUACUCAUUAAGUCCUACAUUCUUAAAAAGCGAAACCUCUACAAAAGCAUCUCUGACAGCUGCAUAACAAAAAUAUAACUACUAAUAUAGCCAGCAUUGUUAGUUGAGCAUAGUCCAGAGCUGCCUCCAAAGGGUCCCAAAAAUAAGAGCUCUCUAGAAGCUGGAGGAGUCUGAAAGCAUUUACAGGACCAAACUGUCUUGAAAGAGGUGAAGAGGAAAAGCUUGAAUGCUGGUAGAGUUUGAGCUCCAAUGCACAGAAGUAUUGCUACCAGGAAGAAAGAAGGCAACAGCUUCACAACUAGCAGCAGGAGUCAGCCAGAGGUGUACCCAGGUGGCCAAGAAGGCCAGUGGCAUCCUGGCUUGUAUCAGAAACAGUGCUGCCAGCAGGAACAGGGAAGUAAUUGUCCCCCUGUACUCAGCACUGGUGAGGCCGCACCUCGAGUACUGUGUCCAGUUUUGGGCCCCUCACUGUAAGAAAGACAUCGAGGCCCUGGAGCGUGUCCAGAGGAGGGCAACAAAGCUGGUGAGGGGUCUGGAGCACAGGCCUUAUGAGGAGCGGCUGAAGGAGCUGGGAUUGUUCAGUCUGGAGAAGAGGAGGCCCAGGGGAGACCUUAUUGCUCUCUAUAACUACCUGAAGGGAGGUUGCAGUGAGCUGGGGGUCAGCCUCUUCUCUCGUGUGACAGUGAUAGGACUAGAGGGAAUGGCUUCAAGCUGCGCCAGGGAAGAUUCAGGCUGGACGUUAGGAAAUACUACUUCUCUGAAAGGGUGGUCAGGCCCUGGAAUGAGCUGCCCAGAGAGGUGGUGGAGUCACCGACCCUGGAGGUGUUCAAAGAAUGUUUUGAAUGUUGUGUUGAGGGACAUGGUUUAGUGAGAACCAUUGGUGAAGGGCGAAUGGUUGGACUGGAUGAUCCUGUGGGUCUUUUCCAACCUUGGAGAUUCUGUGAUUCUAAUAACAAAAUUUUCCUGCUGGUAAAUCUAAAUCAAUGCUUUCUCAGUAGCUUUUGAUGAGGAUCUUAAGGGGGUCUAUCAGCAUGACUCCAUUUAAAGUUUCAGUCAUUGUUAUGUUACCUGGGUGACCACAGAUGCUUUGAAGGUAACUUCAGAAAGGCUUAGCAGAAUAUGAGUUUAGCUGAAAUUGGGGCAUGGUGACAGAGGUUAAAGUGGGUAGUGUGCAGCUUUCUGGAAUGCACAGAGACUAGGCUAAUAUUUUUUCUGGCUGAUCACCUCUUGAUCCUCCCGUGUCUCCUACAUUCAUUUUCUGCUGGUAGGCAACAGCACUCACUCCUGUCACACCUGGCCUAGGAGACAUGGAAUGGAAAAACUCAGCCCGAGAUGAAAAACUUAAACAACAACAUAUGAGUUGAUGGCAUCAGGAUAUUGGGAUGACAGAAAAAUUGGGCAGCUGCCACCAUUUCCCAAUCACACAAUUCAGUUUCCUCUAGUAACUGAUGUAAUGCAGCUGCUUGAGAAUCUCACUUUCAUUAUUUUGCUCCUGUUUCAAAGCUGACAAUAAAAGAUAAUGACAUUCAUGAAUACACUAUGGCUUAGGAACUUGAGGAUGCAGAACUGAGAGCUUCAGGCACUUCCACCAGCUGUCCCAAAGGCCAUUCAAGCUGUAAAGCCCUUCCAUCGCUCUGGUUACUGAUGCUACUGGCACUGCCAGAGAAAGAUCAGUUGGGCUGAAUUAUCAAAGUCAAAGCCAGAGGUAGCUCUGAUGGGAAGCACUUGAACAAAUCUCAUGUCUUAACUCCUUACUGUGUAGGAAAUAAAAGGGGGUUUGUGCGUGGGAAGUGGAAGUGCCCUGUUUCUCAUUAUUGAAAUGCACAGCCUUGAGAGAGAGGGUGGAGCCAGCAUGCAAAAGAUAAAUCAUAUUAAUGCUGUUUGUUUCCCUCUUUUUGCCUUCCAGUUUCGUGGUCUGGGAGCUAGAGGCAGAGGGCUUUGCACUUCAGCUGUUAUUUAUGGCUAAAUAACCAGUAAAGGUGCUGGUUGUUUGUUUGUUUGCAGCAAGACAGAGAUAGAUAUGGGGACGUGGGAAAUACAGACCCCAGAAAGUGGAGUUAAAGCGAUGGAUCCUUCAGUCUUGUAAAAGAGUUUGACUGCUCCCAGGUGCCUCAUGAGCUGCUCACUUCAAGAGCCGUCGUGAAGCAGAGCUGUCACUGGGGCUGACAGCUUGACUGUGCCUUGGAGAAUGGGUAUGACUGGUGGCAUGUUUUCAUGCUAAUGGCAGGGAGCAAGUGGACCCACCUGCAGAGCACAGCAGGCUUGGGGGUGUGUCCUCAGAAGAGAGGAGUAGCUGGGAGGCAUCUUGGGGCAGUGAUUUGCAUUGGUCUGUGAGACACCCUGGGUGUACUUCAAUCACCGGCCUUGUCUGAGGGCCAUGUUCAGAUCAGAAAGAAACUCAGAAGUCUUUUCUCUUUUGUUUUGUUUUGUUUGUUGGAAGCUGGGGCUUUUUGGUGGGUAUGUAUGUCCCACAGGAAGCUAUUUCUAUCUUUUUUUUUUUUUUUUUUUGUAAGGGGAACCAUGCAAAGUACUUACUUGUUGUUAAUCAAACCUGCACUUAUCCCACGCUUCUACCCCAAAGCCUGAGGUGCGAUUUCUUGGAACGUUAUGUGUGCUUCAUUGGGAUUUCAGGAAAGAAGACUUACCGAGAAGCCAACCUCAGAAAAAGACCUCAAAAAAAUUCCAGGUUCAUGAAACAUUUCUCAGAAGGCAAGAAACAAUCCCCUGCCUCCCUCCCUGUGUUUAAACAAGGCUGAGCGGAUGGGCAAGAUGCAGCUUGACAGAGAACUUAUGUGCACUGCUAUUAAGCUGACAGAAGCCAGCAACUUCCACCUAUGCCUGCAGUGAACCAGGACUGGGAUGAUGCCCUAGCAACAGCAAAGCAAGGCCUGAGCAAGAAGAAACAGAUGUUACUGUCUCAUCAAGAAGAUGAACUUGAUCAUGAAAAGCCAUGCUUCCAUUUCUCAACUCUUCCUCUCCCUGGAUGGAGACCUCUGUCCCCUUUGCCUAUGUUGUAAUAGGAAGAUCUUGUUGGUAGCUCAGGCUCCAGUUUUGUAGGCUCAUGCAAGAGGAUGGCACUACCACCAAGAAAACUUCCGUUCCUAGAACCAGGAGCGCUGGUCCAGACCCAUGAGAUUUCAUCUUCUAAGCCCCUCUGGCUAAUUGCAAGGUGCUAUAGGCAUAGGAUUGCACCUCGGGAAAUGAAGAAUCUCAGACCUUCAGAAUCCACUCUUAGGUGGAUCUCAUGUUGCUCAGGAAAAAAUGACAUGAGAUUUACACAUUCUGUUACCACUUCCCAGGGUUGCAGCAUCACGCAGCAAAACAGCACAGAGAAAAGUGCCAUGUCCCAUGCUUGCUAGCUGUUUCUUGUGUUGGCUGCUCAGCCUAACAACCGUGCAGAGCUGUCCUUUGCACUCCUACCGUACAGCUGUUAGUAUAGCAUUUUCUAAUUGAUUUUACUCAAUUAACACUUGCUAAUUAAUUUCUAUUAAUUACCUCUCAUUUAGAGACCUGCACAGGCACAGCUAUAAAUCUCCGCACAGCACACUUUCAUGAAUGGCAGUCUAUGUACAAUUAGCAGCAGUUUUUGCCACUCAGAAUUGCCUCUGGCAGGAGAAGGUGUUGAUGAACCCACUGUGCUGGACUCAUGUAGCAUGUGAAGGUGUGUGUUGCAGCUCAGGGGAGUGGGGGCUGUUAGCGUGGGCUGCUGGGAGCCACGUGCUGUCAGUGUGACUGUCCAACAGCGUGCUUGUAACUCCCAUGUCAAUCUGCAUUGCUGUACCUGUGGAUAACCUUGGCCUAGAUGCAGACUUUAUCAUCAUUUCUGAGAAAAUUAUGUUGUUAAUACAUCAUCUGUAAUCAAUAGGCCAUGGCCUUCAUUCAGGAAGACACUUAGGAGCAUGGCUAAUAUCCAUUAUGCAGUCUGGUACCUUUAUGGUGGUUAUUUUUUUUAAGAGCCUGGUAUUCCAUUUAAAAUUGGAUUUGUACUAAACUGAGGCUUUAUGCCUACAGAGGACAUCAGCCAAGACCUGACCAUGAGGUGCCAUGUGCUUACAGUGUAAGGAUGACUUUGAAGCUGGUAAACGCUUACAAGACCUGCUCCAAAAGUAUUUCCUCCUGUCCUAUGAUGUUGGUCUACAACAUCAAAACAGAUGUUGGUGGUAUGGCAGUAGAGACUGAACCUCCCUGCCAAUAUCCCAUUACAUUUUGUCACCAUGUGUUGGAUUGCAGCAGAUGGUAAAUCUGACAUGGAAGUGCACAUGAAAAUGAAGGCUGGAAUUGAAUUUCCUCCUUGGAGAAAAAAAAAAAAAAAGAAGGCACUUACUGACAUUCAUUGACAUUUGCUGAAUGUUUUUGAAGACCAAACAGUGGACAUGAGCACCGUGAGGUGUUGAGUGGUGCAUUUCAACAGUGGUAAUGGUGACGUGAAAGACAAGCCAUGUUCUGGAUGUCUGUGCACUGCUGUCACCACAAAAUGAAGAGUGUUUUGAUCUGCUCAUCCAAGCAAUGUGGCAGAUUAUGACCAGGGAACUCUAAGGAAAGAAAUGCUGACUUCAGUGUGUUGGAAAUGAUGGUGGCAAUGUUGCAGUAUUGCAAAGUUUGCACCAGAUGGAUCCCACAGAUGUUCACACUGGAACAGAAAGAACACCACAUGCACAUUUGUCAGACCUAUUGAACCAAUGCAAGGCUGAAAGUGACAGUUUGCUGGAUCACAUCUUUACCAGUGGCAAGACACAGUAUCACCAUUAUGGGCUGGAGUCAGAACAGCAGUUCAUGGAGUGGCAUAUGUGAAUUCCUCCUUGAAGACAAAGUUAAAGAUGCAGCUCUCAGUGAGUAAAGAGGUGAUCUUUCUGAAUUUUCUGGAACCUGAACAAAUCAUCAGUCCUAACUGCUACAUUGCAAUGCUGACUAAGCUGAAGGGUUGAACAUCCAGAGUCAGGACAGAGAAGAUGACAAUAUUUCUUUUGCAACAUGAUAACACCAGGCCCCAUAGUAGUUUGAAGACCAUGGAGCACAUUACCAAUCCUAUUACACUCACUGUAUAGUCCAGAUUUGGCAAUUUCUGACUAUCGUUUGUUUGGGCCAAUGAAAGAUAGACUGCAUGGGCAUCGUUUUCCUAAUAACAAUGCCAUCAUACCAGCUGUGAAGCCACGGGUCACAUCCUCUGGUAUGCAUGAGCAUGGCACAUAGACUCUUGUCAUUGCUGGUGAAAAUACACAGCUAAUGGUGAUGACUUUGUUGAAAAAUAGUGUUUUGUAGCUGAAAAUUUGCUCUACUAAAUAGUGUUAUUGUUCUCUUUGCAUCUGUUGUCAUUUCCAUGGAAAUAGAUAGAAGGCAUUACAUUCAGAUCAACCUACAUAACAUGGAAAAAGAAAUACUAAUGCAUAGUGCAAGUCAACAGACGGGAGAGAUCACCAUCAGUGCACAUCGUGAAUGAAUCCUUACUAGGCCCUAUUUGAUGUUUUUUCUUGAAAGACAUUUUUGUUGUUAAUAAUCUUUAAUUUUAUUUCAGCAUGAUUCUUUCUAUUUUAAGGAUCUGUUAAGAAUUGUUAGUAAGUAAUUGUUCAUUAGGAUUAUAUCUGAGUUUUGUUUAUUUUUAAUUCUGUUCAGGUUGGGUAGUUUUAAAUCAGAUUAAUACUUAUCUUCUUACUUCACUAAUUGUUGCAUAUUCUGUUCAGUUACAUAUCUUAAAAACAUUUGUUUGUGGGGUGGCCCAGGCCAAGCCUCACUGAGCUGAGCCUGACUUCCACAUCAGACUGGUAGCCAUGCUGCACUCCCUUUCAAAAUGGCAGGGAGCUGAUGUUAAGGAAUGGACCUCAGGGCACGGGCUGGAUGAAGCUGUAAGAAGCUCCUGUACUCCUACAGCACUGCAGCAUCAGGCUGCUUUUUAAUUUAGUCAGGCAUCCCACUUGGAGGAUGAAAAUGCUGAAGGAAAGGGAACCUCCAUGGGCUGUGGGUGAUGAGGCCACCGGAAUGGAGUUUGGACAAUACAAGAGGGAAUAAAUGUGAAAGGCUCAGAGGCUCUUGCUGCAGCUGGAAGUGGCUUGCACUGACCCUGAUGAGAGCACUGUGGUGCUGUGUGCUGGGCAGCAGUCACCAUAUUUCAGCUGCCACCAGCUGUUGGGCAUACAUAAUGUGGAAGACAAAGCUAGAAAAGAAUCACAGUGCCACGAGGGUUUUCCAGCCCCCUAAAUGGCUGCUCCUGCAAAGUGAGGAGACACCAGCCAAAAUCAGGCAGGAGGGACUAAUUCUGUAGAAGAGGAAUGGCUUUGUCUUUAAUUAUGACAGCCUUCAGAGCUCUCUCAGUGCUGGAAUUUGUCUUAAAAAUGGGGAAAAAGAGAAUCUGCCUGUAUUAAUAUUUUCCCAAGCUUAUUUAAGGACACCUAGAAUUGACAAUAGAUCUGAUUGCUUUUAUUUGGUCAUGAAGCUAGGAAAGCCUGACAUAGAUGGUCAUGAAGUCAUAUAUUCUUCAUAGUUUAUGAAUUAUCUUGUGAACAUAUGGAAUACGUGUCAUUAUUUCAACUCCCAGUGCUGGAAACUGUGCAAAUAAAUGACUGAGUCAGAAGGUGAAUCAGUGUAAGUUAGCUCUACUGCCAGUUGCUUAAGAGCACAGUCAUGACAGGCAAUUACUUGGCUAAUUAGAGUAGAACUUUGAACACUGAAAUAAUAGAACCAUACAAUCAUUAAGGUUGGAAAAGACCACUAUGAUCAUCUUGUGCAACCACCAACCUAUCACCACCAUGCCUGCUAAACCAUGUCCCUCACUGCCACAUCUACAUGGUUCAUGAAGACCUCCAGGGAUGUGACUCCACCACUUCCCUGGGCAGCCUGUUCCAAUAACUCAACACUAUUUCUGAGAAGAAAUUCUUCCAGAUAUCCAACCUGAACCUCCCCUGGCACAACUUGAGGCCAUUCUCUGCUGUCGUAUUGCUAGUUACCUGCUAGUCUCUUCGACUGACCUCCACCUUGCUACAGCCUCCCUUUAGGGAAUUAUAGAGAGUGAUCUAUAGAGAGUAUGGAGUCUCCCCUGAGCUUCCUCUUCUCCAGAUUAAACAAUCCCCAUUCCCUCUGCCUCUCUUCAUAGGACUUGUGCUCCAAUUCUUCACCAGCUUUGUUGUUCUUCUCUGAAUACGCUCCAGGGCCUCAUUGUCUUUCUUGUAGUGAGGGGUCCAAAAGUGGACAUGGCACUUGAGGUGCAGCCUCAACAGUGCUGAGUACAGGGGAUGAUCACCUCCCUUCUCCUUCUGGCUACACUAUUUCUGAUAUAACUCAGGAUACCAUUGACUUUCUUGGCCAUCUAGGCACACUGCUGGCUCAUGUUCAGAUGAUUGUUGACUACCACCCCCAGGUCCUUUUCCUCCAUGCAUCUUUACAGCCACUCUGCCUCAAGCCUGUAGCAUUGCCUGGGGUUGUUAUGGACAAAGUGCAGGACCACACACUUGGUUGAGCUUCAUCCCAUUGGUCUCAGCCUAGAAUCAUAGAAUCACCAAGAUUGGAAAAGACCUCUGAGAUCAUGCAGUCCAACUGUGCACACAUCACCAAUAUUUCCCACUAAACCAUGUCCCUCAGUACAACUUCUAAACAUCCCUUGAACACCUCCAGGCAUGGUGACUCCAUCACCUCCCUAGGCAGCCUGAUACAGUGCCUGACCACUCUCUUGGGGAAGAAGUAUUUCCUAAUGUCCUGAAUCUCCCCUGGCACAACUGCAGGCUAUUCCCUCUUGUCUUAUUGCCAGCUAAUGGGAGAAGAGGCCGACUGCCCACCUCACCACAACCUCCCUUCAGGGAGUUUUAGAGAGUGAUAAGGUCUCCCCUGAGCCUCCUCUUCUCCAGACUGAACAAUCCCAGUUCCCCCAGCUGCUCCUCAUGAGGCUUCUACUCCACAUCCCUCACCAACUUUGUUGCCCUUCUCUGGACAUGCUCCAGGGCCUUGAAGCCUUUCUUGUAGUAAGACAGCCCAAAACUGAACACAGUACUUGAGGUACAACCUAUUGAUCCAGCCAGUCCAGAUCUCCCUGGAGGGCCUUCCGAACAUCAAGCAGAUGUACACUUCACCCAGACUGGUGUCUGCAAACUUGCUGAAGAUGUACUCAAUCCCCUCAUCCAGAUCAUCAGUAAAGAUAUUGAACAGGACAGGCACCAAUACCAACCCCUGGGGAACACCACUUGCAACCAGUAACCAGCUGGGUUUAGCUUUGUUCACCACCACUCUCUGGUCCCAGCCCUCCAGCCAGUAUUUCACCCAAUGAAGAGUCCACCUCUGCAAGCCAUGGGCUGCCAGCUUCUCUAGGACAAUACUGUGGAAAAUGGUUAAAGGCUUUGCUGAAGUCUAGGUAGAUCACAUCCACAGCCCUUUCCAGAUACACCAGGUGGAUCACCUGGUUGUAGAAGGAGAUCAGGUGGUCAAGCAGGACCUGCCUUUCAUGAACCCAUGUUGGCUUGGCCUGAGCUCCUGGUUGUCCUGCACACGCUGAGUGAUUGCACUCAAGAUGAUCUGCUCUGUGACUUUCCUUACACCAAAGUCAGGCUGACAGGCCUGUAGUUCUCUGGAUUCUCCUUCUGACCCUUCUUGUAGGUGGGUGGAACAUUGUCAAGUCUCUCGUGGUCUGGGACCUCCCUGGUUGGCCAUGACUGCUGCUAAAUGAUGGAGAGCAGCUUGGCAAUAACUUCUGGCAGCUCCCUCAGUAGCCUCAGGUAGAUCACAUCUGGACCCAUGGAUUUGUUGACAGUCCAUGUGAAGUAGCAUGUCAGUAACUCUUUCUUCCUGAACUGUGAGGGAAUUCCUUCUGAAAUGCAGCAUUUUCAAAUGAGCUUACCAGAAUUAAGUGCCUAGUGUCCUUCUGCUGUCUAUGAGAGGUGGGUACACCUUUCCUUUAAAUGCUCAGCUUAGCAGAAUGCCCAAGGCAAUUUAUUCAGAAGCUGAGGGAGCAGCAUUUCCAGUGGGUGUCUGGGCAGCAUACUCUUGCAGAAGGACAGAAUACCUCUAGACCAUGCAUGUCCAGUCUGAUACCUUUAUGUUUCCGUUGCCCUUGUCUUUUAAUGUUUUAAUAACUAAAAUAUAUAUAUAUAUAUAAUUUUGUUACUUAUGUACGUUAACUAUUUAUUUUAUAUGUGGCCCACACCUUUCCUGCAUUAACUAUUUUUUUUAUAUGUGGCCCAAGCAAUUCGUCUUCACUCAGUGUGGCCCAGCCAAGCCAAAAGGUUGGGCACCUAUAACUUUGGCCUGAACCAGGUCCAGCUGAUGUUCUCUUCACUGGAGAGUGCAUGUUGGAAGAGGUGGCAUCUGAUUCAGAGUCUUUGCCAACACUAUUUUGAAAGGACACAUAAAUGUAAGAGAAAUGACACUGCUGCCCCUUAAAAUGCUCAGCAGGCAAUUAGUCCUGUGCAAAAGUUCAGACAGAAUUAGGAUGGCUUCCCUUUGCUCCACUGAUAAGCAAAGUAACUUGUUUAUCCUUGGAAAGGUUGCCUGGCAUUACUUGAAAGAUAAGCUGCAUAUUGAAAGUGCUCAACCCAAGAACUUCUUUGCAGAACAUGCAGUUGUGUCCUUGACUGCAGCAGCCACUACCCAUCUUUGCAGCUGACUGAAUUCCCCCUUGCCUAUCUUUCCUGGGGAGAGAGCAUGGACUUUUGCUGUGGAUGUCAACUGGGCAAGAGUUAAACACUGCCAUGGAGCUGUUGUCUCACCUUUGAAAAUGUAGUGGGAGAUAUGUACCUCUGCUCUUGUAAAGAAUCCCGUUUUCUUGCUGGCAGCACAGCCUGCUCCAAUUAGAAAACAAGAUCUGAAACAAGGCCUGGAGUCGGUCUGUCCCCUGCUGUGUCAGUGGCACUGUUGCUGCUUUUGUGAUGAAUUCCUGUAUACAAAACCCAGGCAGUGCAGAGCUGGGAGUAGCAGUUGAUUCACUGGAGGGCCAUGCUGCCAUUCAGAAAGACCUCGACAGGCUGGAGAAAUGAGCCCACAGGAACCUCCGUCAGCUCAACAAAAGGAAAUGCCAAAUCCUGAACCAGGGGAGGAACAAACCCAGGCACUACUACAGGAUGGGGAACCCCCAGCGGGAAGACAGCUGGAAGAGGAAAGACCUUAGGAUCUUGGUGGAUGCCAAGUUGAACAGGAGCCAGCAGUGUGCCUUUGUGGCACAUCCUCAGCAUUAGAGGAAUUGUUGCCAGCAGGUGGAGGGAGAUGAUCCUCUUUCCACUCAGCUCUGGUGAGAUGCAGCUGGGCUCCCAGUACAGGAGGCACAUGGACACUCUGAAAUGUGCCAAAUGAACGAUCAAGAGCAGCAUGAAGAUUGGAUCCUUUAGCUUAUGAGAAGAGGCUGAGAGAGCUGGAGUUAUUUAGACUGGAGUAGGGAAGGCUGGAGUUAGUGGAGGACUUAUCAAUGGGCACAAAAUAAAACACAGGAAAUUCCAUUUCGAAAUAGAAAAUCCCUUACUGUAGUGGUCAAACACCGGAAUAGGUUGCUCAGAGAAACUCUGGAGACUCUACUCUUGGAAAUAUUAAAAACCCUACCAGAUGUGGUACUGAGCAGAGUGUUUGGACUAGACAGUCUGCAGAGCACCCUUCUGACCUCAGUGGUUCUGUGAUUUUAUUCCCAGUUUUAUUCCCAGUUUACAGCCAGUUGUUAACAUCAAAUAAAUUACUCAGCUACCAAUGAGUUGAAAUGACCCGCUAAAGAACUAAACUGAUUCUGUUUUAGAGUGAAGGCCUACUGGACUGGAGUGGAUUGGUUGAGCCAGACAGGUCUGUCAACUGGAUAAACUGUCUUCUUCCUUUUACUCUGAGCUCCUCCCUUUGGCACACUCUGAGCAAUAGAACGUGCGAAAGCCAGUAUCCAGAGUUUAUGGUCUCUAGGUCUAGGAACUGUUUUUGUUAUAUGAAUAACAAAUGGAAGAGUGAGGCUGUAGCAAGAUCUUGGUAUAUCAGGUCAGAAUCUCUUCAGUUAUCAAGCAAUACCUUAUUCUCUGGCUUUGGCUGGAGUGAGCACAUUUUUUUAGGGUUCAUGCCACAAGGUGUAGAGAACUGGCUACAGAUAUCAAUUUAAGCUAUUUUAUGGAAGAAGAAAGCAGUGUGUGAUGAAAAGCUAGGCCAGUGUUAUGAAUAUGUGCUAUAGCUUGUGCUGUUGAUCUAAUAGAAAUUCUGCUUGUUUUUCCAAAGCCUAUUAGAACUUAGAAGCUGGGAUUUCAAGGUGUUAUUCUGUUAGUGAUAGAGAGAGGAUGGAACUGAAAUCCUCUCACUUUUUUUCAUGACACUGUGGGAAAUAAUUUCAAGUUUUGAUCGGGUCUGAGGAAGAAGGCAAGGAGGUCUCAAAGGUCAGGCUGUGAUCAUUAGAAUCUAGGUGGUCUCCCAGGGGUACAGGCAAGUUAAGGGCUCUGCAAAACUAAGGUCACAACUAAGUAUGGGCUGCCUGGGGAUAAACUAAUACCUUAGAAAAUGGACUGGAAUGGAGACCAUCCAGCUUCUGCAUUGGAAGGCUUUGUACUUCCUAGGCUAAUCUAGCCUUGAGUGAACCAAAAGUAAUAAGAAGUUCCUUGAUCAUCUGUUGUUCUAGGCUUUCCUGUUAUGGUGUUUUCUUUAAGAUUGUCUCUAUUUCUUUUUGCUCUAUACUGAGAUACUUGAGCCAGUGGCAUGGGAGUACUAGUGACAGGGUGGAUUUGUCAAUUAAGCAUCUAAAAAGCUUCAGUAAAGAUCUGUGAAAACAUGAGUGUUCUCAGUAAAAUAUCUUUCAUUCUGGAAAAGUCAAGGAAGUCAUGAAACCAUAAGGUAGCAGAAAGAAGUUCUGCAACUGUUUUAUCUUAACUUGACAAACAAACAGGUAUAUGCUUCUGGUUUCCUCUUCUCUCCUUAUGGAUAAGAAGCUAUGGCUUUCAAAAUGCAAUUUAAACGUGGAGUGCAAUGUUCCCAUACCCCCAGCUCACUUCUAAUUGAGAUAAAAUACAAACUACUCACUGUAAUGUUCAAGAGCCAAGAAAUGCCUUGUGGUUAAGGCAAGUUUGGCUAUUAGUCACUUUCUGAGUCCCAGUUCUGCCAGCAACAGUAUGUGACAUCAGCAAGUAAGCUUUCCUGGUAUGGGAAAGUACUUCACUAUGAAUUUCCCUGGAUUAUAUUCUUGUUCCAUUAAAGCUAAUCCUGUCCUUCGAGCAGGAUAUUGAUUCAGAUUCUGCUUUCUUACUGACUGUACACUGCAAAUGAGAACGACAGCCUCCCAAAUCAUCUGGUUUUCCUUUGUAGAUAGACUUUCAGUUUCCAGCUGAAGAGGAUAAAUAUUUCUGGGGGCUGCAGCACUAGGAAGUGCUGGUACACUCACAGCUGGGGCAGUCAGGGAGUAAAAAUGUGCCACUAGGACACUGCUUUCUGACCUACUGUUAUUAUUUCUGAGAGAACUAAUGGUACUGUGAGAGAAAAAAAGAGCAAACAGAAAAGAGAUUACUCAUUCCAGGAAGAAAAUUCUGAUGAUCAGGGAAGAAGAAAAAGGAAGGACUGAAAUUCAUCCCAUCAAACAUCUCAGAGCUUACUCUGUGGUCUCAUCUGCAGCCUCAGUGGGGUUUCAGGCAAAAUCUGCAUGUGAAUGAACACAAGGAGGCUCAAACGUGCGACUGUUAAUUGCAGACAACCGUGGGAGUGAUGAUGCCAAGGUUGUCACUGUAAUGCCAAAAGGAUCCAACUGGAGUGGUUAAAAAUCAUGUAGGACUGUAUUUAGAGCUUGUACUCACCUCUCGUGGUGUCUAUGCAAAUCCUGCUUGACUUAUCAUCACUCUUCAAAAUGAGGCACAUUUCUGAAGUUCCUAAAUUCAGGCAGUAGUAGUUCCUGAACUCAGGUAGAAUUUCUGAAUUUUUCACUCUAAGCACCCAUGCAGUGGUUAUCCCUGUCUGGCCCUUGUCUGUGGUAGUGCCCCAUCUCACUACAACCAUCUCACUGAUCCUGUGCUGAAUCACCUUGCAGACUGCAUCGUUCCUACCUGGCCAGGGAGGUGCAGGAAGCUGGUGGAGAAAGCAAACCAGCCUCUUCUGCCUGUAGACACAGCUGGGAAAGCUUUGCCCUGCCUGUGUUCUGCACUGAAAUAACUGCUCAGUAUACCACUGAUGCCAGAAAGUGCUGUUACCAUGGAUGGCAAUAAAUCAAUAUACAAAAAUUCCUCUCUACUAAGUAAUGCUGAAUGUACCACAAUUAUGCUUAUCUGUUGGCCUCAAUAUUUUGCAUUAUAGCUCCUGCAAAAUUUUUGUGUAAGGUAGAACUGCAUCAAAUGACUCUUCCCUCAAAAUGCUAGUACACUCCUGCAGGUGCAGGGCAGCAGAAGACUAUCGAUAGAGCAGGCUGAAAUGUGAACUGGUGACUUCAUUGGCUUCCCAUAAAGUUAAUUCUCCAGGGACUUGACAGAAGCCGUGAAAUUAUGCCAAGAAUUAAAGCCAGAACAAAGUUGGAAGGAUGAGUCUGUCUCCUGUCUGAAUCAAAUCACAGUGGACACAGCAAGUUGGCUGCUGCUCACAUACAGACCAAAGCUCCUGCAGUCCACUCUCUUCAAAGUCUGUGCAAGAGCAUGAGCCCAGGUACUCUGAACAUUGCACAAGUAGCAGCAGUGCUCCUUCUGAGGCAUGUGCCACAUACACACAUGUAUCCAGUGGGGUGAAUGGAAACGCGCAGAGAAUGUUGGACUCCUCCUUAGAAAGCGAAUUGUCACCAUGGGAAGAUUGCCAUGUGUUUGUGAUGGUUAAACGUGGAGUGGAAAUCAGGGCUGGAACUAGUCUCUGACCUAAAGCUGUGGGUUGGACAUAAAUGGAUGUCAAACCUCCGUCUCAACUGUUACAUCAGGAACAAAAUGGGUGUUUUUUCCUGUUGAUUUAGCCAGCCUGACCCUGACUUUUCAUAAAGGUCAUGUUACACUGACAGUCAAGGAAGGCUGCAAGUUUCUGGAGCCACAACCUGCAAAUAUCCACCACAGACAAUCCUUUGUUCUCUCCAGGGUCAGCAAGGAAUUUCUCUGCAAAAUACUUGUUUUUUCGGUGGCUGCUCAUUGAUAGGAAGGAACACAUAAGGCCCCCAUUGUGGCGUAGUUUUUCCGCAUAGAUGUUGAAGUUAUGUUUUAAAGGGAGAUUGAACCACAUUUCAUGGGGAAUCAUGAGAGUUUUGAUUUUUUCUUAAAGCAAACAAAUGUAGACUUGAAAUACAAAAAAUGCGUGCUAUGUUACAUGUGUGCCCAAUGGGUGGUUUCAGUGAAAAUGUAAAGUUAUCCUUCUGAAAAACGUGGUGAUUUGCCUGUGUCCUGCUGCAGCCUGUUUGGCAGUGAUUUUUAGUGUUGGCACUGGAGUUAAAUCAGGCUUUGAGAGGUCCUGGGACCUUGAAGUGUGUGGUGCUGUGCUCAGCAGCUCCAUUGUGUUUACCUGCUGACCACUCUGUGCUUCCUGAGAGAACUGGCUUUUGUGAGGCUGGGCCUCUGGUCAAAUGUUGGUCUCUUCUGUUUCAACUAAAAGGGAAGGUAACUAUAUAAAACUUAUCCAGAAGUAGUCCUUUGACUGGAGGAGGUGGUGUGGAUGUGAGCAGUGCUGAGAAGGCAUCCUCCAUUCUGUUUAUCAAAAAAAUGGAAGAAUGGAGAAACUUCUCAGAAGGGACCACUGCUGGGCUGGGGCAAGGAAG